GGAAGUAGACCGGAAGUAGAUGUUUCUUGCUUGGCCUGUCUUCUCUAAAGAAAGCCGUUCGUUUCCUCCCAUCGCUACUUUCCACCGAUGUAUUGGAAGAUCCUUGCCGUCUAGUCAGGAGAAUGUACAGCUUCAUAGCUUCUACCCCGAAUUCUUUCUUACGGUGUAACUUCUGCCCCUACCCCUCCUUAGGCUCUUAGGAGGCAACCAGCCUUGGCUGCCGGCCUCCAGUGCCUCGAGAGGCGGUGACGUUCGUCUGGGGCUGGGCUGAGGCUCCGGGGACAGCCCGACGUGCUUCGAGCGGUGCCAUGUCCAACGCUGAGCAGGCUGUGACCAGCGAACCCCAGCACGGUGCCUGAUUCAUGAAAAAGUGCUGUAGGAGGCCGGUCUUCCUUCCCAGUGAGGACCCGUGCAGGGGGAGCUCAGCGGGGCCACCGGCCGGCCCUCGGGCCAUGCACCUGGCCCUGUGUCCCCGGCAGCCAGGACGUGUUUUCACCUCUGAGCAGGGGGGUCUCCAGUCAACCCGAAGACACAGAGCCACGGCGCGAGUGAUGGGAGGAUUCUAGCACCUAUAGGACAUCUGACUCCCAAAUGCACUCGUCCCUUAGAAGGGAGGGCGUGCAAGAGGCAGGCUGCCCAGCGGUCCUGCGUCUCAGACCCCUCUUCCCUGAUCUCUGUACAUGCAUAUAUGACAUUAAAUCACUUGGCAGAACCCGAAUUGCAUAGGAGUGAAAAAGUCCUAAACAGCUAAGUGGUCCACUUACCCCGUGUUGCUAAACAUCUGGUAAAUAGUCACGUGGUCCCUAGCGAGCACACCCGCAUCCAGGAACUCCUGGGCCAAGCCUGCUAUUUGGAAUCCUGCAUUCAUCAUAUAACCUAAUGUCCUCGUGUAACCUAUUCAUCAAGUAACCCAUUGGGCUUGUCUUCAAUGUACCUUCGACGUCUUCAUCCUAGGAAAGUGUGAAUAAGUAAGGUCAAGGGCAGAGGCCUGGAGUCUGUCUUUGGAAACUUCCUUACAGGAGAUACAGGCGCUUUAUGGACCCUUCCCAAGCUGCUGCAAAAUGAUUGAUGGUUGGCCUUCUUUUAAUCCAAGUAAUGCAGAGUGUCUGAAGCUUUGGUAAUCGGAUCCUACUGACUUGAAGGACCACUGCCAAAAUAUCCAUAGCACAGAGGUUUGGCAACUCGAUUUAAUAGCAAAAGGAUUACAAAGUGCAAAACAAGCCCCACAACAGCUAUGAAAUGGGCCAAUUCAGAAACUGACUCAGGCUAAGAAGUUGUUCAGUGUUGCUGUCUCUCACUUGCUUUGUAUCCCCUGCUCAAACUACCUUCACCUUGGCCAAGGUUGGAGGCACCUGUGACACACAGAAGAGAAAAGAUGUCAAGGGAAAUCGACACGAGAUCAUAGACACCGUGUCUGGGGACAUGUCAGGCUCAAGGCCCGUGAAUUCCCAACGGCGACUCCUAGGUCCUCCCGGUGCAGAAAGACCUGGCGAGGUCCUCUGAAAGGGAGACCACAUGGCAAAUUUAGAUGCUAUCCCUCGUUUCUUUAGAGCGAGAAGUUGUGGCUCUCUGUGACGCUGGAUUUACCAACAAGAAUACAGUUUGCUCUGAGAGCCGUGGCUUGUUUGCCCUUCAGCAAACGUAUUAGGAUCACAGGAGAAAUUAAGGGAGAGUUUCUGACCGGACAUUUAUGUGGACUUUGUCAGAGCCCCGGCUUCAGAGGCCUCUUUCCGUUCUGGGCACAAAUAUGGAGGCUCCAGUGUGAAACCUUCGGUCCUCUGCUCCAGGAGAGGCUAGGGAUAAGAGAAUGUCAGCAAGAAGGGCCUGGAGAAGCCAGCUCCGUCUGGGCACCUAACACCCUAUUUGCUUGGCUCUCACUUGCAUGAGUUCCUGGACAAAACAAAAUUCUAACACAAAACCCAGAAGUUCAGCACACGUCUCUAUUAGGCAACUUUAGUCGCUUAAAAAAAAAAAAAAAAAAAGUGCAAAUGCAGACUCCUGCGUAAAUCUGAUUUGCCAUGCUAGGCCAAGCUUGUUUUAUUACAUACAUUCUGCAUCCUAAGAACUAAUAACUUCAUAUUGUAAACAUUAAGCAUACAGAGUUAAAAGUCAAGGCCACAUUCUAUCGUUGAUUGUCUCUUUUGUCGUGUAUCUUUGGCUGGCCGAGAUCAACUCGUAGUGUAUAAAUGCAUAAGUUAUAUAAUUAUUAUAUAAAAAGGAAAAAAA